rnacentral:tRNA from 1 species
GGGCAAGUAGAUCAGCUCGGUAGAUCGCAUCGUUCGCAACGAUGAAGCCGCGAGUUCAAAUCUCGCCUUGUCCA